ensembl:lncRNA
GUGGCUGUAGGGUAUAGAGUGGCUGUAGGGUAUUAGGGUAUAGAGUGGCUGUAUGGUAUAGAGUGGCUGUAUGUUAUUAGGGUAUAGAGUGGCUGUAUGGUAUAGAGUGGCUGUAGGGUAUAGAGUGGCUGUAUGGUAUGGAGUGGCUGUAGGGUAUAGAGUGGCUGUAUGGUAUGGAGUGGCUGUAGGGUAUAGAGUGGCUGUAGGGUAUUAGGGUAUAGAGUGGCUGUAGGGUAUAGAGUGGCUGUAGGGUAUAGAGUGGCUGUAGGGUAUUAGGGUAUAGAGUGGCUGUAGGGUAUUAGGGUAUAGAGUGGCUGUAGGGUAUGGAGUGGCUGUAUGUUAUUAGGGUAUAGAGUGGCUGUAGGGUAUAGAGUGGCUGUAUGGUAUUAGGGUAUAGAGUGGCUGUAGGGUAUUAGGGUAUAGAGUGGCUGUAGGGUAUGGAGUGGCUGUAUGUU